AUGGAGAAAAUUCUACAUGCGUCUCUCAUGCAGGCUUUUAUCUUUUCAUUUUUCUUCUUUAAAGGGUCCUUUAUAAAUGUGAAGCAGUACUGUGAAGGGCUCUCGAAGCGCACUGCCUCCAUUUCAGAACAUCUUUCCUUAACCACAACUUUAAGACCUCACGUCAGAGACCCUGGGCUUCGGGUAAUUGUGCUGGGCCCGAGCAGAGGGAUGUGUGGCAGCCUGAGAGACAGCCUUUUGGGUUACAGUGCAGGAGCUCUAGCCCCUGAUAUCGAGAGCACUACCUGGAGAGCAAAGGUAGACGGGAGAGAAGUGACUGUUGUUGAAACUCCUGAUCUCUUUGGUACGUCUCUGAGUGUAAAACUGCAAGCACAAGAAGCCCUACGAAGCCUCCAGCUGACCUCACCUGGUCCUCAUGCUCUUCUGCUUGUGCUUCCAACAACUUACUUGGAUAAGGUUUAUCAAAACAGUGCACAGAGCUUCUUCUUAAGGUUGCUUCAUUUACUGGGUGAAGAAGCAGCGAAGUAUGUGCUGGUGGUUUUCACUUGUGUAAAUCUACGGGGGGGCUUCUCCUCUCUGGAGCAGCUUCUGGAAGAAGACUAUCUAGGAAUAAAGGCCGCUCUGCCUCUGUGUGGGGACAGAGUGGAUUUGGUUAACAUCAGUCCGGGUCGCUCUAUAGAAAGCAGGAUGGUUGAGGGCAGAAGGCUGCUGGACAGAGUAGCGAACAUGAGAACGCAGCAGGGUCACUUCAUUCACGAGUUCCAACAGCAGGAAGAUCAGAUCAGGACCAGUGUUGGGAGUAACGGCGUUAAAACUAACGGCGUUACUAACGCCGUUACUUUUUUUCAGUAACGAGUAAUCUAACUAAUUACUAUGACUGUAACUAUAACGCCGUUACCAUUUCCGACACCCCGUUACUGCACGUUACUUUAGCAGCUCUAUGAACUUUUUUUUUUUAUUUCGCUUUGCCCUGGUUAACCCCUCCUCUGUCCGGUGAACUUGAGCUUCUGGCCGCUGUGCCUGUGGUUUGGCGUGGUGAAGUGAGGCACAAUUGUGACGAUUUGCGUGCUCUAAUCAAUUCAGUGAUUGCCGUGGACAGCCCAAGUUCCGAAUUAAGGACGUUAAGCUCUUUUUAGCUGCUCCGGUUUUUGUGGUGCUGCUGCUUUCUAUUUUAGAGCUUAGAUUCUCUGCCCGAAUCCCACCUGACCUGAGGACCGACCCGAAAUCAGGCUCCUAUUUUUAUUUUAUAUAAAGCUCUGGUGUGAUAAUCACAAUGUUGCUAAGUAACCAAUUAUUAUUGUUCACUAAAGCGAACGAAAUAGCGAAAAUUGAAAGUGAAAAACAUUUGUGUUAACUGAAUCUAAUAAAAACGGUAAUUAAAAGGAAAAACA
rnacentral:lncRNA from 1 species